rnacentral:rRNA from 1 species
GACGAACGCUGGCGGCGUGCCUAACACAUGCAAGUCGAACGGGGUCCAGGGGAGCUUGCUCCCUGAAGACCUAGUGGCGAACGGGUGAGUAACACGUGAGGAACCUGCCCCGGACUCUGGGAUAACCCGAGGAAACUCGAGCUAAUACCGGAUGCCCUCAUCGGGCUGCAUGACCUGCUGAGGAAAGUUUUUCGGUCCGGGAGUGCCUCGCGGCCUAUCAGCUAGUUGGUGAGGUAACGGCUCACCAAGGCGACGACGGGUAGCCGGCCUGAGAGGGCGACCGGCCACACUGGGACUGAGACACGGCCCAGACUCCUACGGGAGGCAGCAGUGGGGAAUAUUGCGCAAUGGGCGAAAGCCUGACGCAGCGACGCCGCGUGAGGGACGAAGGUCUUCGGAUUGUAAACCUCUUUCAGCAGGGAUGAAGCGAAAGUGACAGUACCUGCAGAAGAAGCACCGGCUAACUACGUGCCAGCAGCCGCAGUAAAAC